rnacentral:lncRNA from 1 species
AGAGGACGCGGGGAGACUGGGAGGCAUUGGGAGGGAACUGGGAUAUACUGGGAGGGGAUUGGGAGGGGACUGGGAGGCACCGGGAGGGGAUUUGGGGUUACUGGUUUAUACUGGGACGGACUGGGAGGGACUUGGAGGGGAUUGGGAGGGACUGGGAGGGAACUGGGAGGGAACUGGGAGGGGAUUGGGUUAUACUGGGAGGGACUGGGAGGCACUGGUUAUACUGGGUUAUACUGGGUUAUACUGGGAGGGGAACCGGACACGGGGGUCCCGCCCCGCCCUGCUCAGUGUGAUGGGUGAGAUGGGUUAUACUGGUUUGUACUGGGAGGGACUGGGAGGGGAUUGGGAGGGGAUUUGGGGUUACUGGUUUAUACUGGGAGGGACUGGGAGGGACUGGGUUAUACUGGUUUAUACUGGGAGGGGAACCGGACCCGGGCGUCCCGCCCUGCCCUGCUCAGCGUCAUCAGUGAGAUGGGUUAUACUGGUUUGUACUGGGUUAUACUGGGAGGGACUGGGACGGACUGGGAGGGAACUUGUUUAUACUGGGAGGGGACUGGGAGGGACUGGGAGGGACUGGGAGGGACUGGGUUAUAUUGGGAGGGGACUGGAACGGACUGGGUUAUACUGGGAGGGGACUGGAACGGACUGGGUUAUACUGGGAGGGGACUGGGACAGACUGGGAGGGACUGGGAGGGACUGGGGGCGACUAGGAGGGAACUGAAGGGGACUGGGAGGGAACUGGUUUAUACUGGUUUGUACUGGGAGGGACUGGGAGGCACUGGUUAUACUGGCUUAUAUUGGGUUAUACUGGUUUAUACUGGGUUAUAUUGGGUUAUACUGGGUUAUACUGGGUUAUACUGGGUUUAUACUGGGAGGGGAACCGGACACGGGCGUCCCGCCCCGCCCUGCUCAGCGUGCUGGGUGAGAUGGGGAUUCUGGUUUAUACUGGUUAUACUGGGACAGACUGGGAUAUACUGGGAGGGGAUUUGGAGGGACUGGGAGGGACUGGAAGGGGAUUGAGAGGGGAUUUGGGUUAUACUGGUUUAUACUGGGAGGGACUGGGAGGCACUGGGAGGCACUGGGUUAUACUGGGAGGGACUGUGAAGGAACUGGGUUAUACUGGGAGGGGAUUGGGGGGCACUGGGAUAUACUGGGAUAUACUGGGAGGGACUGGGAUGGACUUGGAGGGGAUUGGGGGGGACUGGGGGGGGAUUGGGGGGGACUGGUUUAUACUGGG